UAAGACGUAGGGUCCAAGCGUUGUCCGGAUUUACUGGGCGUAAAGAGCGCGUAGGCGGCUUGAUAAGUGUGAUGUGAAAUCUCCAGGGCUUAACCCGGAAACUGCACCGCAGACUGUCAGGCUUGAGGAAUGCAGAGGUAACUGGAAUUCCUGGUGUAGCGGUGAAAUGCGUUGAUAUCAGGAGGAACACCCAUGGCGAAGGCAGGUUACUGGGCAUUAUCUGACGCUGAGGCGCGAAAGCGUGGGUAGCAAACAGGAUUAGAUACCCUGGUAGUCCACGCCCUAAACGAUGGAUACUAGGCGUAAGAGGUAUCGACCCCUCUUGUGCCGCAGCUAACGCACUAAGUAUCCCGCCUGGGGAGUACGGCCGCAAGGUUG
rnacentral:rRNA from 1 species